rnacentral:rRNA from 1 species
GUUGGUGAGGUAACGGCUCACCCAAGGCCCCGGAUGCGUAGCCGACCUGAGAGGGUGAUCGGCCACACUGGGACUGAGACACGCCCCAGACUCCUACGGGAGGCAGCAGUAGGGAAUCUUCCGCAAUGGACGAAAGUCUGACGGAGCAACGCCGCGUGAGUGAUGAAGGUUUUCGGAUCGUAAAACUCUGUUGUUAGGGAAGAACAAGUAUCGGAGUAACUGCCGGUACCUUGACGGUACCUAACCAGAAAGCCACGGCUAACUACGUGCCAGCAGCCGCGGUAAUACGUAGGUGGCAAGCGUUGUCCGGAAUUAUUGGGCGUAAAGCGCGCGCAGGUGGUUCCUUAAGUCUGAUGUGAAAGCCCACGGCUCAACCGUGGAGGGUCAUUGGAAACUGGGGAACUUGAGUGCAGAAGAGGAAAGUGGAAUUCCAAGUGUAGCGGUGAAAUGCGUAGAGAUUUGGAGGAACACCAGUGGCGAAGGCGACUUUCUGGUCUGUAACUGACACUGAGGCGCGAAAGCGUGGGGAGCGAACAGGAUUAGAUACCCUGGUAGUCCACGCCGUAAACGAUGAGUGCUAAGUGUUAGAGGGUUUCCGCCCUUUAGUGCUGCAGCAAACGCAUUAAGCACUCCGCCUGGGGAGUACGACCGCAAGGUUGAAACUCAAAGGAAUUGACGGGGGCCCGCACAAGCGGUGGAGCAUGUGGUUUAAUUCGAAGCAACGCGAAGAACCUUACCAGGUCUUGACAUCCUCUGACAAUCCUAGAGAUAGGACGUUCCCCUUCGGGGGACAGAGUGACAGGUGGUGCAUGGUUGUCGUCAGCUCGUGUCGUGAGAUGUUGGGUUAAGUCCCGCAACGAGCGCAACCCUUGAUCUUAGUUGCCAGCAUUCAGUUGGGCACUCUAAGGUGACUGCCGGUGACAAACCGGAGGAAGGUGGGGAUGACGUCAAAUCAUCAUGCCCCUUAUGACCUGGGCUACACACGUGCUACAAUGGAUGGUACAAAGGGCUGCAAGACCGCGAGGUUUAGCCAAUCCCAUAAAACCAUUCUCAGUUCGGAUUGCAGGCUGCAACUCGCCUGCAUGAAGCCGGAAUCGCUAGUAAUCGCGG